CCUACGGGAGGCAGCAGUAAGGAAUAUUGGUCAAUGGAGGCAACUCUGAACCAGCCAUGCCGCGUGCAGGAUGAAGGCCCUAUGGGUCGUAAACUGCUUUUACACAAGAGAAAACCCCCGGUACGUGUACCGGGUUGAUAGUAUUGUGAGAAUAAGCAUCGGCUAACUUCGUGCCAGCAGCCGCGGUAAGACGAAGGAUGCAAGCGUUAUCCGGAUUCAUUGGGUUUAAAGGGUGCGUAGGCGGACUUGUAAGUCAGUGGUGAAAUCUCUUUGCUUAACAAAGAAACUGCCAUUGAUACCGCAGGUCUAGAGUAUAGAUGACGUUGGCGGAAUAUGACAUGUAGUGGUGAAAUACUUAGAUAUGUCAUAGAACACCGAUUGCGAAGGCAGCUAACGAAACUAUAACUGACGCUGAGGCACGAAAGUGCGGGGAUCAAACAGGAUUAGAUACCCUGGUAGUCCGCACCGUAAACGAUGAUUACUCGUUNUUGGCAAUAUGACCGUCAGCGACCAAGCGAAAAGCGAANAAGUAAUACCACCNGGAGGACGCCGGCGACGUAGAACGUAAAGUAAGUAGACGCGNGAGAGAGACGACGACGACGACGAGGGAGGAGG
rnacentral:rRNA from 1 species